ensembl:lncRNA
UGAAGAUACUGAAAGCUGCCAUUAUAAAAACCAGAUGAAGAUAGGUUUGUAUGCCCAUAAUUUGUGGGUUAGAUGUCCUGCAUGCCGGGUGACUGCAGUAGUACAACUCUAAAUGUGUGGUUAGUCUGACUACUACAGUUUCCUUUUGUCCUCUUCUCCCUCUUGUCUUUAAAAAUGUCUCCUGUUUCAAAUCCUUGGUCGUUUUUCUCUCUGCCACCUUCUCAAUAAUGAGAGCAGGGCCGAGUGAAUAUGGCCUCCUGAAUGCUGCAUCGGAUGUCACCAAGCUGAGAUGAUGAAUGAGAAUGCUUUCAAUGGCCUGUGUAUGGGUGUAGAGUUCACCCUCAAUUAUGGCUGCUGGCAGCCAAUAGGUUCCAUAUUAUACUUCAGUGCUUCAUGAGAGUUACAGAGCAGGGAGAGCGAGGAAAAAGAGAAUUACAUUUAUUGGCACAGGAGGAAAUGAAUGUGGGAAGAAACCCAGAUGAACAUUUAUAGCAAGUGACAAAAGUGAGACUGUUUUUAACUUUUGCCAACAGUAGAUGUUGAACCAAGUUGGAUUUAUUAUCACGCACAUAUCUUUCAACAUUUGUUUCCUGAAGCAUAUCUUAGUCACCUGACCAACACGUUUUUGACUUUUAACGGGGUACCUGAAUGUCUUUUAUUUUAUUUUAUUUUGUUCUUGAUGUUUUACAGGCCUGAAGGAGGAGAUGAAGACUCUGAAAAUAGAUCUCCAGAAAAAACACUGUAUGAUCGAGAGCAUGUAAAUAAACUCCUGGAGUGCAGGAGGAGUGAAGACUUGUAAGCUCUGUGACCUGGCAGCGUGUGAGGAAGAAACAUUUUUGUUGAGUCUGAGGUGUUGUUUCACCUCCCUCCUCUGAGGUUCAUCGCAUUACACACACUGACUCAACGCUGGCUCAUACUCCUUUUAUAAUCUGUCACAACUUCUGUUUUUCUGGCUUCUUUUUCCAUUUUGUGAGUGAAGGAGCCUCUCUCUGUUUCUCUGUCAUUGAGAGCUGUCAGAACACUCCGUGGCAGGACAGUGUAUGUGAUGUGACAGUGGGAGAGCUGUGGUUGCUGUCAGGGCCACUCUGGCAUUGACAGCUGUGUAUGUGUGCGUGGGACGGGGCUCGUUGCAUGCUGGUCCUUCCUGCCUUCUGUGCUAAUUUACUUUGGUAGGUUGAUAAACAUAUCUGAUGCAACUGACAGGCCUCCAUUUUUGUAAAAAACACACAGUAUGUACAUUCACGUAAUUUUGGAGUCAGUAAGAUUUUAAUUUUUUAAAUAAAGUUUUAUUCAGCAAUGAUUAAUUUAAUUGA